CCGCUCGUAGUUCAGUUGGAUAGAAUACACGGUUCCGAUCCGUGGGGUCGGGGGUUCGAAUCCCUCCGAGCGGG
rnacentral:tRNA from 1 species